GCUACAUCAGCACCUGCAAGACUCUCUUGCCAGCUUUUUAGGAUAGCACUGUCAUGCAUUUGUAGAAAAGCUGCAACCUCAAAAUCUCUUUAGUGAUUGUUUACCAGUCACGAUAACAAUGUUUAACAGAUAGUUCCAGGUUCCCUGUAUUGCAUAAGAGGUUGGAAGAUGGAUGGAUUCUUAUCACCUGUAGGAUGCGGAAGUACAGACGCGAGCAGAAGAUGCGCAGCUUGAGGUUGGGGGUUUGCCUCAGGAAGCGCGCCAAGCGGCAGGAGCAAUCAUAGCAGGGGGACCAGGAACAGAACCAGGUCACAGAGUAAGAGAGCUUUGCUCCUCCUGGACCUGAGCCCCAGAGGCCUGGACACAGCGCCCCCAAGUGUCGAAGGAAGAGAAGCUGCAGAGGUUCCCCACCAUUCAUAAUAAGGGAAUCAGCUAUCGGUCUCAUUUCCAGUCUCCAGUGCAUAUCCCACAGUAAGAUGCAUGGAACGCCUAUGUGUGCCUUAAAGCCGAUUGACACAUGUGGAAUAGAUUUUUCCGUUCCUCGAUGUACCCAAGUACUGCCCUCUGGCAUGUGCUCCGCAAGUGACCUCUAUGACCCUUCUGUGCUUAAGCACAUGGGGAGGAAUCUCCAAAUGUUUCUGUAUGGGAUGCGGGACAAGCUGAUGUCUGUGCUUGAAACCGUGAGGCUCUACACUGUUAAAAAUGUGUGUUGGAGAGCAUUACAGGGCAUUUAAUCUGACGAUGAGAAACGGGAGAUCAAAGCAGGAAAUGCAGAGUCAUUUUUUCCUAAACCCACCCACACUCACAUGCACGCACACACAAACAGAGAGAGAGAGAAAAAAACAAAACCACAGUCACAAAAACACACUUUCCAGCACCAUUAACUCGCAUCUGUUUCCUGAAAGCAAAUAUAGUUAUACACAAUUUGUUUUUACAGCCAGGUGCUUUCUGAAGCUGACCGACAGCAGCUACAGAAUAGGCAAAAAAAGUAUAGAAUAUUGUAUAUGUAGUAUAU